AGGACGAAACGCUGGCGGCGUGCUUAACACAUGCAAGUCGAGGGCACUUUGGGGGCAACUCUGGAGUGACCGGCGAACGGGUGCGUAACACGUGAGCGACCUUGCCUCGUGGUGGGGGAUAGCCGGCCCAACGGCCGGGUAAUACCGCAUAUGGUAGUUUCUUCGCAUGGGGAGACUAGCAAAGCUGAGUAGCAAUACUUGGCGCCACAGGGGGGGCUCGCGGCCUAUCAGCUAGUUGGGGGGGUAAUGGCCCACCAAGGCGACGACGGGUAGC
rnacentral:rRNA from 1 species